GACGAACGCUGGCGGCGUGCUUAACACAUGCAAGUCGAACGGAAAGGCCCUGCUUUUGUGGUGGUCUCGAGUGGCGAACGGGUGAUUAACACGUGAGUAACCUGCCCUUGACUUUGGGAUAACUUCAGGAAACUGGGGCUAAUACCGGAUAGGAGCUCCUGCUGCAUGGUGGGGGUUGGAAAGUUUCGGCGGUUGGGGAUGGACUCGCGGCUUAUCAGCUUGUUGGUGGGGUAGUGGCUUACCAAGGCUUUGACGGGUAGCCGGCCUGAGAGGGUGACCGGCCACAUUGGGACUGAGAUACGGCCCAGACUCCUACGGGAGGCAGCAGUGGGGAAUAUUGCACAAUGGGCGGAAGCCUGAUGCAGCAACGCCGCGUGCGGGAUGACGGCCUUCGGGUUGUAAACCGCUUUCGCCUGUGACGAAGCGUGAGUGACGGUAAUGGGUAAAGAAGCACCGGCUAACUACGUG
rnacentral:rRNA from 1 species